UACGUAGGGUGCAAGCGUUGUCCGGAAUUAUUGGGCGUAAAGAGCUCGUAGGCGGUCUGUCGCGUCUGCUGUGAAAACCUGGGGCUUAACCCCGGGCCUGCAGUGGGUACGGGCAGACUAGAGUGUGGUAGGGGAGACUGGAAUUCCUGGUGUAGCGGUGAAAUGCGCAGAUAUCAGGAGGAACACCGGUGGCGAAGGCGGGUCUCUGGGCAGUAACUGACGCUGAGGAGCGAAAGCGUGGGGAGCGAACAGG
rnacentral:rRNA from 1 species